rnacentral:lncRNA from 1 species
CGGCUGUGUUCUCCACCUGCCCACGGGUCCUGGUAGGACCAUCUCUGUUCUGUCCACUCUAGGCCCGGUCUUGUCCCUGGUGGGAGGGCCAGGGACAGGAAGUCCAUGCCCUGGGCACCUUGUUCUGCCACAGCUGGCCAGGAAGGAGAAGGCAUCAGACACUGAGGACAGUGGCAUCCAGGAGCUUCUGCAGCUCUUGAGCCUGGAACCCCAGCAGGCUUCAGAGAAGGCUGGUCCUUCGAGAGUGUGCUGGCGUGGAGCUGGUGCGGAAGCACGUGGGCUGCCUCCUGGAGAUGCCCCACCAGUCCUCCGACCGAAGGGAGGUGGGUUAGCACCCUGGGGACCCUCUGGUCAGCACAGCCCUGGCCCUGCCUCCGAUGGGCCCCUUCUGAUUCCAGGCCCCUGUCCCUUACUUCACAAUCCUGUGUGAUCCUCGAGGCCCUGGAGCGUCCUGUCAGGCACCGAUUGUCAGGAACCACUGAGACCUGCCAGGCUGCGUGCGUCCUGGACCCACCCUGGCAGAGGG